rnacentral:rRNA from 1 species
ACUCAAAGGAAUUGACGGGGGCCCGCACAAGCGGAGGAGCAUGUGGUUUAAUUCGAUGAUACGCGAGGAACCUUACCAGGGCUCGAACGCAGGAGGAAUACUCCCGAAAGGAAGUAGCCAGAAAUGGCCGCCUGCGAGGUGCUGCAUGGUUGUCGUCAGCUCGUGCCGUGAGGUGUCAGGUUAAGUCCUAUAACGAGCGCAACCCCUAUUCAUAGUUGCCAGCAUAUUACGGUGGGGACUCUAUGAAAACUGCCUGCGCAAGCAGUGAGGAAGGUGGGGAUGACGUCAAAUCAGCACGGCCCUUAUGUCCUGGGCUACACACGUGCUACAAUGGCCGGUACAGAAGGCCGCAACCACGCAAGUGGAAGCUAAUCCCUAAAACCGGUCUCAGUUCGGAUUGGAGUCUGCAACCCGACUCCAUGAAGCCGGAUUCGCUAGUAAUCGCACAUCAGCCAUGGCGCGGUGAAUACGUUCCCGGGCCUUGUACACACCGCCCGU